AAAAAUCCUCUAUACACAAAAGUUUGGUCCUAACUUUAAAAUCAAUUUUCCCCUAACUUAUACAUGCAAGUCUCCUCACCCCUGUGAGUAUGCCCCCUUAUUUCUAGCCCAAAAUGGGGAGCCGGUAUUAGGCAUAAUAGUUUACCCAAGACACCAAGCAAUAGCCACACCCACAAGGGUUUCAGCAGUAAUUAACAUUAGACAUAAGCGUCAGCUUGAUCUAGUUAGGAGGUCCCAGGGUCGGCCAAACUGGUGCCAGCCGCCGCGGUUACACCACGAGACCCAAACUGAUUUUCUUCGGCGUAAAGCGUGGUUAAGAUCAUGAGCUAGUAAAGUUAAACUUGUACUAGGCGGUGACAUGCCUGAUAAAAAGAAACUCGUAAACGAAAGUUACUUUAUACUGAUACUUGAACCCACGACAGCCAGGGGACAAACUAGGAUUAGAUACCCUACUAUGCCCGGCUAUAAACUUUAAAUUACCUCCACAUCGCCAAGGGACUACGAGCAACGCUUAAAACCUAAAGGACCUGACGGUACCCCACAUCCUUCUAGAGGAGCCUGUCCUAUAAUUGAUAAUCCCCACUUAACCUCACCACCCCUAGCCUCUCAGCCUGUAUACCUCCGUCCCAGCUCACCCUGUGAAUGAAUCAGUAAGCCUAAACGUCCUAAGCCCACACAUCAGGUCAAGGUGCAGCAAAUGGGGUGGGAAGAGAUGGGCUACACUUUCUACCCUAGAAAAUACGAAAAGUCACUAUGCAACCUGACCAGAAGGUGGAUUUAGUAGUAAAAAGAGAACAGAGUGCUCUUUUUAACCCGGCACUGGGGUGUGUACACACCGCCCGUCGCCCUCCUCAAAACGCAGCAAGUAGUAACUAACAAGCCUAAGUGACAAGAGGAGGUAAGUCGUAACAUGGUAAGUAUACCGGAA
rnacentral:ncRNA from 1 species